rnacentral:rRNA from 1 species
UAGUAUUCAAUUGUCAGAGGUGAUAUUCUUGGAUUUAUUGAAGACUAACUACUGCGAAAGCAUUUGCCAAGGAUGUUUUCAUUAAUCAAGAACGAAAGUUAGGGGAUCGAAGACGAUCAGAUACCGUCGUAGUCUUAACCAUAAACUAUGCCGACUAGGGAUCGGAUGAAGUUAAUUUUUUAAUGACUCA